AAUAUAUUCGGAGGGCACUUCCUCGUUAAGUCUUUGAACCUCUCCUAGGCCUCAUAUAGUGUUUCACCAUCUUGCUGUCUGAAGGUUUGUACCUCAGCUCUCAAUCU